rnacentral:rRNA from 1 species
GAACGCUGGCGGCAGGCUUAACACAUGCAAGUCGAACGCCCCGCAAGGGGAGUGGCCGACGGGUGAGUAACGCGUGGGAACAUACCCUUUUCUACGGAAUAGCUCUGGGAAACUGGAAUUAAUACCGUAUACGCCCUACGGGGGAAAGAUUUAUCGGGGAAGGAUUGGCCCGCGUUGGAUUAGCUAGUUGGUGGGGUAAAGGCCUACCAAGGCGACGAUCCAUAGCUGGUCUGAGAGGAUGAUCAGCCACAUUGGGACUGAGACACGGCCCAAACUCCUACGGGAGGCAGCAGUGGGGAAUAUUGGACAAUGGGCGCAAGCCUGAUCCAGCCAUGCCGCGUGAGUGAUGAAGGCCUUAGGGUUGUAAAGCUCUUUCACCGAUGAAGAUAAUGACGGUAGUCGGAGAAGAAGCCCCGGCUAACUUCGUG